CACGUAGGCACCAAGCGUUAUCCGGAUUUAUUGGGCGUAAAGAGCUCGUAGGCGGUUCGGUAAGUCGGGUGUGAAAACUCUGGGCUCAACCCAGAGAGGCCACCCGAUACUGCUGUGACUAGAGUGCGGUAGGGGAGCGGGGAAUUCCUGGUGUAGCAGUGAAAUGCGCAGAUAUCAGGAGGAACACCAGCGGCGAAGGCGCCGCUCUGGGCCGUAACUGACGCUGAGGUGCGAAAGCGUGGGGAGCAAACAGG
rnacentral:rRNA from 1 species